rnacentral:rRNA from 1 species
GGACAGAAAGACCCUAUGAAGCUUUACUGUAACUUGAAAUUGAAAUUGGACUUUACUUGCGCAGUAUAGGUGGGAGGCGUUGAUCUUAUUCUUGCGGGAAUUUAGGAGCCAUCAGUGAGAUACCACUCUGGUAAUGUUAGAUUUCUAACUUUGUAUCAUAAUCUGGUCAAAGAACAGUUUCAGGCGGGCAGUUUGACUGGGGCGGUCGCCUCCCAAACGGUAACGGAGGCGUACAAAGGUUUCCUCUGAACGUGUAGGAAUCGUAUCUAGAGUGUAAAGGCAUAAGGAAGCUUGACUGUGAGACCUACAAGUCGAGCAGGGACGAAAGUCGGUCUUAGUGAUCUGACGGUGCUGAGUGGAAAGGCCGUCACUCAACGGAUAAAAGUUACUCUAGGGAUAACAGGCUGA